GCCGCCGAGGACGACGUGGCGACGAUCGUGCGCCUGCUCGCGCCGGGCGACGACGACGCCGAGGCGGUGGUCGCGUUCCACGACGCCGACGGCGGCAC
rnacentral:tRNA from 1 species